CGUUUUUCUUGAUCAUUGUUGCAGUGGAUUUCAUAUGUAUUUAUUCAUUGUACACAUUUCUGAAUUAUGGUGUAUGCUUGUGGAUUUUGUUGUAGGCAUAAGAGAUUCUUGUACACUUAGUGAAUCUUUUCAAAACUUAUUUACUUGUAGAAGAGGCUUCAUAAACAGGUUUUGUACUUGCACAUGAAACUGUUUGAGCUUUGUGAAUACGAAAGUGGCUGAUCUUGAAACACUUAUCGGUUCACUGUCAGAGUAGUUGCUGGAAAUGUUGCACCAGGGAGCAGUAGAUAAGACAAUCAGUUACUAUACGUAUAUUCUGUUCUAUUUGAAAUUAAAAUGAUUUGAAAUGGGGACCAUAAAGUUUUCGCAAUUUUUCUAAUACAGUUAACAUAAAUUUUUCCCUUCAAAUAAGCCUAAAUUUUUUGCGGAACUACGUUUUUAUUCUUCACCGUUUGCGUCACUUAAUUAAAGCUCUCCUUGUUUCAAUCUCUCCUCAGUCACACUGAACUUUUUAAUGCUGCAGCCCCCAGUGGCUACAUUAUCUUCACUUCACAAGCAGGACAAAAGUUUGGCUCACUUUUGUCCUGUUGGACUCCCUCCAUCUUGUCAGAAUUUGUUUGGUUUUGUGGAAUUAACCCUUUGUUUUCCCAGUUUUAGUCUGUUUUUGCAGGGUUUUCCACGUAAAACGAUCCUUGGAGGCUGCCAAGAAGACAGAGAGGAAACAAGACCUUGAGGAGGAAUCCAGUGGAUGUGCCCUUUUUUCUUGGGUCAUAUUGAGUCUGUGAUGUCACAUAGACUGGAUCCCAAAUGAAAGCUUUGGAGCAGCGGUUGUUUUUUCUUCUUUUUUUUCUACAGUUGUAAAUAGUUUUUUAUGUAUGUAUAUAUUUAAAAUAGUUUCAUGUAAGAAUAUAGUUUAAUAUAUGUUUCAUGUAUGUAUAAUAGUUUGAUAUUUAUGACAAGUUGAUCAUCGUGGCAAAGCCAUGUUUCACUUGUGAGAUUAAAUCUGUCAGGCCUUACAUUGACACUCAGGCAACAACCCUGAGUGCCACACGGCCGGACAGGACACAUGUAAAUAAAAAAAAGAUAGUUUUUAUUGCAGAGACAUCAAGUUCUGAAAUUUAUUGUAUUCUUUAAAUGUUGUAAUUUUGGUUCAUUGUAAUCUU